rnacentral:lncRNA from 10 species
UACUUUUGUGGGAAAUGCUCAGUAUUUUAUUGAUUCUGGGUACUAGAAUAAGACAUGAUUUAUUUCAGAGUGAAAUAUGUGAGGUUUUUCCUGACUGUGGCAGGUCACACUGGAAGCAGGGCAAAUGUCAGAUUUAUGUUUUUGGUCUUGUCUUGAAAGUAAAAGGCCAGUUGUAGUCAACAGAGCUCUUGCUGGCAUAAUUCCAAAGGCCAUAAGAGUGCUUGGCUAUGUCUUCUGUUCUCUGAUUCAGAAGAAAAGAAAUCAUUGAUUGUGUUAGCUUUCUAUUGAUGCCUAACAAAUUACCUCAAAAUUAGCAGCUUAAAACAGCACCCGUUGAUCACCUCACCAUUCUGGAGGUCAGAAGUCCAGGUGGCUUGACUGGCUUCUCUGCUCAAGGUCUCACAAAGCUGAUAUUGAGGUGUGGGCCAGGCUGGGUUUUUAUCUGAAGGCUCGAGGAAUAACCCAUUUCGUGCUUACUCGGGAUGCCGGCACAGUUCCGUUCCAUACAGUUGUAGGACUGGGGAGCUUGUUUCCUUUCUGGUUGUCAGCUAGGGGUGAAGAGCCACUGUCCUUCUCUACGUGAGGCCCUCUGUGUCUUCAAACCAGUGAUGGCACUUCAGUUCCUUCUUGUGGUUGGGCUCUUUCUCCUUCUGCCUUCUCUUCUACCUGCCUCUUCUCCCAUCAGCUGGGGAAAGUCCCCUUGUGAUUAUGUGUCUGCAGUUGCUGCCGGCCAGGGUGUUCGUGGUCUCGCUGCCUUCAAGAACGAAGCCGGGCCUUCGUGGUGAGUGUUACAGCUCUUUUCUUUUUGAGACCGAGUCUCCCGCUGUUCCUCACGCCAGAGGGCAGUGGCGCGGUCUUGGCUCACUGCAAGCUCCGCCUCCCCCGUUCCGGCCAUUCUCCUGCCUCCUCCUCCUGAGCAGCUGGGACUACACGCGCCCACCACCACGCCGCGCCAGCUUUUUUUUUUUCUUUUUGCAUUUUUAGUGGCUACAGGGUUUCACCGUAUUAGCCAGGAUGGUCGCAAAUCUCUCGACCUCCUGAUCCACCUACCUCAGCCUCCCAAAGCGCCCACCAGUGUUACAGCUCUCAAAGACGGCAGUGUUACAGUUCUUACAAAUGGCACGGACCCAAAAAGUGAGCAGUAGCAGCUAUAAAGAAGCAAAGGACAAAGCUUCCACCACACAGAAGUGGACCCCUGCGAGUUGCCGCUGUCGGCUGGGG